rnacentral:lncRNA from 1 species
CCCAGAUGCAGAGUUCAGAACUAUGAAGUAAGUGUGAAGUGCUCGAUGUGCUGAGAAAGAAAAAGGAAAGGUCUUCAGACUGAUGGAGUGUGACAGGAUCCAGAUGAGCCCUCUUCUUGAGUUGAAUUGCAUCCAUUUCAACAAGCUGUCAUCAAACAGUGGUGCCAGGGAGCUACUAGGAAAUGGGAUGAGGAGAGUCUGGGAUGUCUGUUGGUGCUUCCCAACGAGUGUUAUGGGCCCUCUGUUUUCAGGUGGACCU